AUCACAGCUUUCCCAGAGUGUUCAUCCACCGUGUGAUUUUUUCUCUCUGGGUACUGAGUGGCUGGGGAUGUUUGGAUAAUACACUAAUCAGGGCCCAAGAGAAACACAGCUAUUUGUUUGUUAUCUUUAACCCGGUGUUUCUUUUCAGACAUUGCUCAGCACAAACACAGCCUGGGAAGUGGGAAGGUCAGGCUUGUAUUUCUCUGGGGGUGGGCACUGAGUCUCAGCUGUGUGCUAGGUGCACUGAGUCUCAGCUGUGUGUGCUAGGUACAGCUCGGGACACGCUUUGUUCACUUUAUAUUUUGAGAUAGGAGCUCACAAAGCUGUUCCCUUGAACUCACUCUGCAGACCGUGCA